UUAUGGCUCUCGUUGGUACACCUAGUACUUGCGGCCAAAAUAUUUCUUAGAUCUAUUAGAGGGAGAAAUUGCUAAGAUAAUAGUUUAUUUUAAUUGCUAAGAUAAUAGUUUAUUUUAUUAACUUAUAAUUACAUAGAUAUUUUUUUAAUAAUUUUAAAGUAUAAAAAAUAACUGUUUAUUAUAUGUAAUAUAGUUCCUACUUCGUUAUUACGUCUUCUUAAAGAUAUACACUUUAGCUGUGAUGAGGAAGUGCAUCCGUUUUCCUCAUCGAUGGCGCAAUGGACCGUUAGGGGAAGUUAUGGCUUUUGCACCCUCAAUUAGUAGAGGGAAAGUAGCUUAAGCAGCAACUAAUUAGAGAUCAAGCCUGUAGCAAGCCAGUGCUCUAAAUAGAAUUAAAAAACUCCUCCUGGUGUACUGGCGUCUGCUUGCGUUCGAAUAAAGUCUAAGCGGGUCUGGGUCUGACUUGUCAAGCAUCCGCAAGAAGUCAUUAAUAGAAACUUUCUUUUUGAGGAAGGAUAGCUAAUGUGCCCAUUCACAGUGCUCUUUGGAAAUAAUGGACAUACAUUUUGAAUCAAAUCCUUUUUCAUAUAAUUUACCUACGGGGAUUAAGUUUUUUAAAUAGGGUUGAGGAGUGAAACAACGUUUAAAAGGCGCAACUUGUUCUUAUAUAUAGGCUAAAAUGACAAUUCUAGUCAAAUACCCCUCUGACACUCAACCAAUUUUUUUAAGUAAAAUGUGAAAGGGGAUCCUUAAUAUACCCUCAUUCACUCUUUAUAAAAAUUAACCGCGUUUUGGUCAACGUUUUGCAGAUAAAAAAAGAAUUGCUAUCCGGGUAGAGACUAACGCCUAGGAGGCUCCGCCAAGUGUGUGCACGUGCUUUCAAGAAAACCUAUUUCGUCUUUAGUAUUAACUGAGCACCAGGACGUAAAAUUAAUAACUUAUUCACGAACUGCUUAGAAGAAUAAUAUAAUUAGCAAUAAUAUGAAAAAGUAAACCCCAAUCGCGCUAGUUGGAAACAGCCAGUAUUUUUAUUAAAAUUCACUCUAAUAAGCGUUUACUGUAAAGAAGGAAUUGAAGUAAAAGCGUUCCAUUAAGUAAACUUCCGCAAAGAUGGCCCACAUAUAAAGACUUG